CCGACUCUAGUUUGAAAUGUAGCUUACACUUCAUAUUGUCUCUUCUUAUUAAGGACUGGAAAAGGUGCAGAAAGGAGCAGCUAAAAUGUUCAGGAGGAGGAAGAAGGAUGUUUGAUCUUCCCUUCAAUAGAAGAGCUUGGCAGAAUUUCCAGAAUAAACCCAGAGAUGGCUUCUAUAACUUUAAUGGUUGUG
rnacentral:lncRNA from 11 species